GAUGAAGAACGUAGCGAAAUGCGAUAAGUAGUGUGAAUUGCAGAAUUCAGUGAAUCAUCGAAUCUUUGAACGCACAUUGCGCCCUUUGGUAUUCCUUAGGGCAUGCCUGUUCGAGCGUCAUCUAAACCUUCAAGCCCUGCUUGGUGUUGGGUGCCUGUCCCGCCUCCGCGCGUGGACUCACCUCAAAUCCAUUGGCGGCCCCCGCGUCGGCCACGAGCACAGCAGAAACGCGAACUCGUGAGCCCGUCCGGGCGGCUCCCAGAAGCUAACCCCCAAUUUUUGACCUCGGAUCAGGUAGGGAUACCCGCUGAACUUAAGCAUAUCAAUAAGCGGAGGA
rnacentral:misc_RNA from 1 species